UACGAGUGCCCCAAGCGUUAUCCGGAAUUAUUGGGCGUAAAGGGUGUGUAGGUGGUUUUGUUAGUCUUCUGUUAAAGCUCCCGGCUUAACCGGGAAAGUGCAGAGGAAACGGCAAGACUAGAGGAUGUGAGAGGUUUGUAGAACUCAAGGUGUAGGGGUAAAAUCCGUUGAUAUCUUGGGGAACACCAAAAGCGAAGGCAGCAAACUGGCGCAUUCCUGACACUGAAACACGAAAGCGUGGGUAGCGAAUGGG
rnacentral:rRNA from 1 species